rnacentral:tRNA from 1 species
GUGGGCGUAGCUCAGGCGGUUAGAGCGCCAGGUUGUGGCCCUGGAGGUCGCGGGUUCAAGUCCCGUCGCUCACC